GCUAUACAUGCAGUCGAGCGGACAGAUGAGGAGCUUGCUCCUCUGAUGUUAGCGGCGGACGGGUGAGUAACACGUGGGCAACCUACCUGUAAGACGGGGAUAACUCCGGGAAACCGGAGCUAAUACCGGAUAAUAAAGAGAAACGCCUGUUUCUUUUUUGAAAGUCGGUUUCGGCUGACACUUACAGAUGGGCCCGCGGCGCAUUAGCUAGUUGGUGAGGUAACGGCUCACCAAGGCGACGAUGCGUAGCCGACCUGAGAGGGUGAUCGGCCACACUGGGACUGAGACACGGCCCAGACUCCUACGGGAGGCAGCAGUAGGGAAUCUUCGGCAAUGGACGAAAGUCUGACCGAGCAACGCCGCGUGAGCGAUGAAGGCCUUCGGGUCGUAAAGCUCUGUUGUCAGGGAAGAACAAGUACCGGAGUAACUGCCGGUACCUUGACGGUACCUGACCAGAAAGCCACGGCUAACUACGUGCCAGCAGCCGCGGUAAUACGUAGGUGGCAAGCGUUGUCCGGAAUUAUUGGGCGUAAAGCGCGCGCAGGCGGUUCUUUAAGUCUGAUGUGAAAGCCCACGGCUCAACCGUGGAGGGUCAUUGGAAACUGGGGAACUUGAGUGCAGGAGAGAAAAGUGGAAUUCCACGUGUAGCGGUGAAAUGCGUAGAGAUGUGGAGGA
rnacentral:rRNA from 1 species